rnacentral:rRNA from 1 species
AACGAGCGCUGGCGGCAUGCCUAACACAUGCAAGUCGAACGAGACCUUCGGGUCUAAUGGCGCACGGGUGCGUAACGCGUGGGAACCUGCCCUUAGGUUCGGAAUAACUCCCCGAAAGGGGUGCUAAUACCGGAUAAUGUCUUCGGACCAAAGAUUUAUCGCCUUUGGAUGGGCCCGCGUUGGAUUAGCUAGUUGGUAGGGUAAAAGCCUACCAAGGCGACGAUCCAUAGCUGGUCUGAGAGGAUGAUCAGCCACACUGGGACUGAGACACGGCCCAGACUCCUACGGGAAGCAGCAGUGGGGAAUAUUGGACAAUGGGCGAAAGCCUGAUCCAGCAAUGCCGCGUGAGUGAUGAAGGCCUUAGGGUUGUAAAGCUCUUUUACCCGGGAUGAUAAUGACAGUACCGGGAGAAUAAGCUCCGGCUAACUCCGUG